GACGAACGCUGGCGGUGUGCUUAACACAUGCAAGUCGAACGGUAAGGCCCUUUCGGGGGUCCACGAGUGGCGCACGGGUGAGUAACACGUGAGUAACCUGCCCUCAUCUCUGGGAUAACAGUCGGAAACGGUUGCUAAUACUGGAUAUGAGCUUGCAAGGCAUCUUGUGGGUUGGAAAGAUUUUUUUGGUUGGGGAUGGACUCGCGGCCUAUCAGCUUGUUGGUGAGGUAGUGGCUCACCAAGGCGUCGACGGGUAGCCGGCCUGAGAGGGCGACCGGCCACAUUGGGACUGAGAUACGGCCCAAACGCCUACGGGAGGCAGCAGUGGGGAAUAUUGCACAAUGGACGGAAGUCUGAUGCAGCAACGCCGCGGGCGGGAUGACGGCCUUCGGGUUGUAAACCGCUUUCAAUUGUGACGAAGCUUUUUGUGACGGUAGCAGUAGAAGAAGCACCGGCUAACUACGUG
rnacentral:rRNA from 1 species